GUCCACGCCUUAAACGAUGUAUGCUUGAUAUCGGAGAAAUUCGGUGUCGUAGGUAACCUGAUAAGCAUACCACCUGGGAAGUACGAUCGCAAGGUUGAAAACUCAAAAGGAAUUGACGGGGGCCCGCACAAGCGGUGGAUCAUGUGGUUUAAUUCGAUGCAACGCGAAAAAACCUUACCUGGGCUUGAAGUAUAAAGGAGUAAAGGAGAUGAAAAGUCAAAAUGACUCGUAAAAAUCGAGAUCUUAAUAGAGGUGCUGCAUGGCUGUCGU
rnacentral:rRNA from 1 species